GGGGCUUAACCCUGAGCGUGCUUUCGAUACGGGUUGACUUGAGGAAGGUAGGGGAGAAUGGAAUUCCUGGUGGAGCGGUGGAAUGCGCAGAUAUCAGGAGGAACACCAGUGGCGAAGGCGGUUCUCUGGGCCUUUCCUGACGCUGAGGAGCGAAAGCGUGGGGAGCGAACAGGCUUAGAUACCCUGGUAGUCCACGCUGUAAACGGUGGGUACUAGGUGUGGGGUCCAUUCCACGGGUUCCGUGCCGUAGCUAACGCUUUAAGUACCCCGCCUGGGGAGUACGGCCGCAAGGCUAAAACUCAAAGGAAUUGACGGGGCCCCGCACAAGCGGCGGAGCAUGCGGAUUAAUUCGAUGCAACGCGUAGAACCUUACCUGGGUUUGACAUGGAUCGGGAGUGCUCAGAGAUGGGUGUGCCUCUUUUGGGGUCGGUUCACAGGUGGUGCAUGGCUGUCGUCAGCUCGUGUCGUGAGAUGUUGGGUUAAGUCCCGCAACGAGCGCAACCCUUGUUCACUGUUGCCAGCACGUUAUGGUGGGGACUCAGUGGAGACCGCCGGGGUCAACUCGGAGGAAGGUGGGGAUGACGUCAAGUCAUCAUGCCCCUUAUGUCCAGGGCUUCACGCAUGCUACAAUGGCUGGUACAGAGAGUGGCGAGCCUGUGAGGGUGAGCGAAUCUCGGAAAGCCGGUCUCAGUUCGGAUUGGGGUCUGCAACUCGACCUCAUGAAGUCGGAGUCGCUAGUAAUCGCAGAUCAGCAACGCUGCGGUGAAUACGUUCCCGGGGCUUGUACACACCGCCCGUCAAGUCAUGAAAGUUGGUAACACCCGAAGCCGGUGGCCUAACCGUUGUGGGGGAGCCGUCGAAG
rnacentral:rRNA from 1 species